rnacentral:rRNA from 1 species
UACGUAGGUGGCAAGCGUUGUCCGGAAUUAUUGGGCGUAAAGCGCGCGCAGGCGGUCCUUUAAGUCUGAUGUGAAAGCCCACGGCUCAACCGUGGAGGGUCAUUGGAAACUGGGGGACUUGAGUGCAGAAGAGGAAAGCGGAAUUCCACGUGUAGCGGUGAAAUGCGUAGAGAUGUGGAGGAACACCAGUGGCGGAGGCGCUUUCUGGUCUGUAACUGACGCUGAGGCGCGAAAGCGUGGGGAGCAAACAGG